AGUUCCCGGCUCUCUCGACUCUGUUGAAGACGGGUUUCUUGGAGAAGGGGAGGGCAGUGAGGCACAGUCCCCCGUCCCCCGACGCCCCUCGCGAUGCCCCUCCUUCUUGGACUAACCCUCUUCAGAGGAGCCGUGAGAUCCAGGAACUUGUGAGUUUUGUAUGUCCAGUCAGGCAUCAUUCAUACCUGGUCUGUAGGAAGUUCCUGUCAGAAGGAGGUGGCACCGCGAGGGCGUCGAGGGGCGGAAGGCGGUGCCUUAGUGCCUCCCUCCUUCUGACAUUGUAAAGGGACCCUAACUUUAUUACUUUUUUAAUAGUAAGAUAUAUAUAUAUAUAUAUAUAUGUAUGUAUAUGUUUUU
ensembl:lncRNA